rnacentral:lncRNA from 1 species
AAAAAAGUACUAUUUACGUUCGUUCAAACAUGUCAAACGUUGUAUAGCAUCAAUCUUUAGGGCCAUUUUAAGUUCAAACUUCAAUACAUUCCAACCGGACCCAUGCAUUGUCUUGAAAAAUGUUUUGGAACGCAGGUAUCUGCUAACGUGAACGCGCCCUGUGAACUGAAGUGUUUUUCUGGUCACCUGCUUACCAGCGUUCUCCUUCGGUCUGUGUUUACCGCAAAAGGCUCAAACAACUUUCUAAGACUGUUGACAUCUAGUGGAAUCCUUAGGAAGUGCUAUUUGAGUCCUAACUCACUGUGUGUCAGAAAGGCAAGGACUUGAGAAAACUACAGGAACCAGAAUUUCAUUUCCUGGUUGGAUUUCUCUCAGGUUUUUGCCUUCCAUAUGAGUUCUGUUAUACUCACAGACAUCAUUCAAACAGUUUUGGAAACUUUAGAGUGUUUUCUAUCCAAAUCUACUAAUCAUUUGCAAAUAUUUGACUCUGGGCCGGAGUAUUAGGCCGUUUACUCUGGGCACGCUUUUCAUCCAAAAGUGAAAAUACUGCCCCCUAGCCCUAAAAGGAUUUAUCCUAACUAGGGUUCCUAUGUAGGGUGGUUCAUCAUGUCUGUUAUCCUAACUAGGGUUCCUAUGUAGGGUGGUUCAUGUCUGUUAUCCUAACUAGGGUUCCUAUGUAGGGUGGUUCAUCAUGUCUGUUAUCCUAACUAGGGUUCCUAUGUAGGGUGGUUCAUCAUGUCUGUUAUCCUAACUAGGGUUCCUAUGUAGGGUGGUUCAUCAUGUCUGUUAUCCUAACUAGGGUUCCUAUGAAGGUGUGAUGCAUCAUUUGUUUUGUGAGUCUAAACUGUCUCAGAUUGCCGGCCAACACUUUCAUUUCUGUGUAUCUUUCUCUCCUUUUCAUUCUGUUGAAAGAUGUCCAGAAAGAUCAUAGUUACGCCCGACAGUCUACUACAGAUAUGUUCUAAAGUAUAUGCAAACACAUCAAUAAAUAUAUAUUUAUAUGUAGAAGAGUAGCUAGAUAUAGAUGACUGUAACAAUUUGCACAGUGUCUGAAGAGAAGUAAGGAGUGAUCCGUCUAAACAAAAUGGCUACCAAACUCCAACUCCCACAAUCCCCAGUGUCUACGUAAAAAGAACUACAAGUGACUUUGUAGUUUAGAACUAGUUAAAACACUAAUUAGUGUGUCUGCAAAACCUUUCUAAGUGUAAUUAAAUUGAAGGUGUAAACACUGAGAUUCAUUUUUCAAAAUAAAUAUUAGAAUGUGUGGUUAAUAAAAUGUGUUUCAUAUAUCCUGUCUCUCAAACUCAGAUUUUUACUAAGAUUUAUUUAGUUGUUUUGUUUUGAUUGAUGUUGAUAUUUUACAGCGUGUUUCUGACACUACCAUGGUGACUCCUAAAGUGUGUUCUAUCUGCAACAAAACAAGGACUGUGUCCCAAAUGCCACCCUGUUAUUCCCUAUUUAGUUCACCAUAGAACCCAUAGGGCCCUGGUCGUAAGUAGUGCACUACAUGGGGCAUAGGGGGCCAUUCAGGACGUAGCCAAGGUGUGUGUAUUCAGCGGUGACAUCCCUCUCAUUGAGACUGUGUUUCUGUUGGGUUUAAUGAUGCCAAAUCCUUUACUCAGACAGUAGGUACAGUAGACUGUUGAUGGGUUGCUGGUUAGUUACGUAAUGUCACCAUCAUCAGUCACCUUUGUCACAGUCUAGGAAUAUGGUUCAGUACAACUUGUCACAGUCUAGGAAUAUGGUUCAGUACGACUUGUCACAGUCUAGGAAUAUGGUUCAGUACGACUUGUCACAGUCUAGGAAUACGGUUCAGUACGACUUGUCACAGUCUAGGAAUACGGUUCAGUACGACUUGUCACAGUCUAGGAAUAUGGUUCAGUACGACUUGUCACAGUCUAGGAAUAUGGUUCAGUACGACUUGUCACAGUCUAGGAAUAUGGUUGAGUACGACUUGUCACAGUCUAGGAAUAUGGUUCAGUACGACUUGUCACAGUCUAGGAAUAUGGUUCAAUGCGACUUGUCACAGUCUAGGAAUAUGGUUCAGUACGACUUGUCACAGUCU